UACGAAGGGUGCAAACGUUGCUCGGAAUUAUUGGGCGUAAAGCGCACGUAGGCGGCUUUGCAGGUCCCAUGUGAAAUCCCACGGCUCAACCGUGGAAGUGCAUGGGAAACUGCAGAGCUUGAGUACUUAAGAGGAUCGCGGAAUUCCCGGUGUAGAGGUGAAAUUCGUAGAUAUCGGGAGGAACACCAGUGGCGAAGGCGGCGAUCUGGGAAGAUACUGACGCUGAGGUGCGAAAGCGUGGGGAGCAAACAGG
rnacentral:rRNA from 1 species